GAUGAACGCUGGCGGCGUGCCUAAUACAUGCAAGUCGAGCGAACAGACGAGGAGCUUGCUCCUCUGACGUUAGCGGCGGACGGGUGAGUAACACGUGGAUAACCUACCUAUAAGACUGGGAUAACUUCGGGAAACCGGAGCUAAUACCGGAUAAUAUAUUUAACCGCAUGGUUCAUUAGUGAAAGACGGUUUUGCUGUCACUUAUAGAUGGAUCCGCGCCGCAUUAGCUAGGUGGUAAGGUAACGGCUUACCAAGGCAACGAUGCGUAGCCGACCUGAGAGGGUGAUCGGCCACACUGGAACUGAGACACGGUCCAGACUCCUACGGGAGGCAGCAGUAGGGAAUCUUCCGCAAUGGGCGGAAGCUUGACGGAGCAACGCCGCGUGAGUGAUGAAGGUCUUCGGAUCGUAAAACUCUGUUAUUAGGGAAGAACAAAUGUGUAAGUAACUAUGCACGUCUUGACGGUACCUAAUCAGAAAGCCACGGCUAACUACGUG
rnacentral:rRNA from 1 species